GACGAACGCUGGCGGCGUGCUUAACACAUGCAAGUCGAACGGAAAGGCCCCUUUGGGGGUCCUCGCGUGGCGAACGGGUGAGUAACACGUGAGUAACCUGCCCUUGACUUCGGGAUAACUUCAGGAAACUGGGGCUAAUACCGGAUAGGAAUCCUUGCUGCAUGGUGGGGGUUGGAAAGCUUCGGCGGUUUUGGAUGGACUCGCGGCUUAUCAGCUUGUUGGUGGGGUAGUGGCUUACCAAGGCUUUGACGGGUAGCCGGCCUGAGAGGGCGACCGGCCACAUUGGGACUGAGAUACGGCCCAGACUCCUACGGGAGGCAGCAGUGGGGAAGAUUGCACAAUGGGCGGAAGCCUGAUGCAGCAACGCCGCGUGCGGGAUGACGGGCUUCGGGUUGGAAACCGCUUUCAGCAGGGGCGAAGCUUGUGGUGACGGUACCUGCAGAAGAAGCACCGGCUAACUACGUG
rnacentral:rRNA from 1 species